GAUGAACGCUGGCGGCGUGCCUAAUACAUGCAAGUCGAGCGAACAGACGAGGAGCUUGCUCCUCUGACGUUAGCGGCGGACGGGUGAGUAACACGUGGAUACCCUACCUAUAAGACUGGGAUAACUUCGGGAAACCGGAGCUAAUACCGGAUAAUAUAUUGAACCGCAUGGUUCAAUAGUGAAAGACGGUUUUGCUGUCACUUAUAGAUGGAUCCGCGCCGCAUUAGCUAGUUGGUAAGGUAACGGCUUACUAAGGCAACGAUGCGUAGCCGACCUGAGAGGGUGAUAGGCCACACUGGAACUGAGACACGGUCCAGACUCCUACGGGAGGCAGCAGUAGGGAAUCUGCCGCAAUGGGCGAAAGCUUGACGGAGCAACGCCGCGUGAGUGAUGAAGGUCUUCGGAUCGUAAAACUCUGUUAUUAGGGAAGAACAAAUGUGUAAGUAACUAUGCACGUCUUGACGGUACCUAAUCAGAAAGCCACGGCUAACUACGUG
rnacentral:rRNA from 1 species